ensembl:ncRNA lncRNA:CR44742 long non-coding RNA:CR44742
CUUAAACUGUAGACUUCGAACCACAGUGCCACGGUUGGUCGCGCAGGAAUUGCGGCAGACGGCAGACGGUACGAGGUAUAUGGUAGCUGCUAGACGGUUCCAAGAGGAUGGAGGGUAGAUUCCGAUGGAGGACGAAGAGCACAACGAGGAGGCAGGGUUCCCGGCAAGUGAACGAACUGCGAACUGCUGGGCGUGUUUGUGUGUGUGUGCGUGAGUGUGCGAGAGGGUGUUCGAUAGCGAUGAUGUGGACGUGGAAUUGGAUGUUGCUUCUGGUCCCUAUCCGUGUCCCUUCCCCCGCGGGCCCGUUCUGCCCAUGCCCAAGUGUCAUUGCUCGCCGGCGACGCCAGCCAAAGACUUAACCUUGAAAAGUUUAACUUUGCCAUAAAGGACGUGCGGUAAGCGAAGGGGGAUGCGGAUGCGGAGGGGAAAUAGCGAUGUACUCGGAUCAUGUGGGCCUGUACAGUGAACCCAGGAGCGAGUCCUUAGGCUCUUUCGAUGGAAGCUUAUAAUCUAC